AUUGAACGCUGGCGGCAGGCCUAACACAUGCAAGUCGAGCGAGCGGCGGACGGGUGAGUAAUGUCUGGUAAACUGCCUGAUGGAGGGGGAUAACUACUGGAAACGGUAGCUAAUACGGCAUACCAACAGCUUUGCCCAGGUGGGGUUAGCUAGUAGGUGGGGUAACUGCUCACCUAGGCGACGAGCCCUAGCUGAUCUGAGAGGAGGACCAGCAACACUGGAACUGAGACACGGUCCAGACUCCUACGGGAGGCAGCAGUGGGGAAUAUUGCACAAUGGGCGCAAGCCUGAUGCGGCCAUGCCGCGUGUGUGAAGAAGGCCUUCGGAUUGUAAAGCUCUGUCAGCGGGGAGGCGUUACCCACACAAAAAGCACCGGCUAACUCCGUGCCAGCCGCCGCGGUAAUAC
rnacentral:rRNA from 1 species